UUCAUAAAAGCCCCAUACGACCUAAAAACUCCCAGCUUCAAAUGAUUUCGUUUGUUAACGUAGCCAUGUUUAAUAGCCGUGUUUCGAGUUACUCCGGAACACAGUGUUUAUUCUGUGUUUAGUCACGCCGCGUCAAAAAUGUUCCACAGGGUUACUUCCGGUUUAUCGUUGUUUACCUACCAACAGUCGACACUUCGUGUAUUAGGCCUAGGCUUAAUUUUGUCGAUCAUCAUGAAAUUGAAAUACACAUUUAAUAGUUUGGGGUGUAUGCGGUACACAUUUGUUUAUGAGCGUUUGAUAAGCUACUAUUGAUCUACGAAAUACAACGAAAGACUUCGUCAAGAACAGAAGAAGACGAUGCAUGUCGUGUAAGGCCCAGCUGUCUAGUAACCGGAGGGGUAAAGGAAAAGAACGUAUUAGACUCACUGAAACCUGUCAAACAGGUAUAUGGGAACAGGAUCAUUUUCCAUGCCUUUCACCUGAGGUCUUCAGUUUCAUCAUUAAUCAUCUGAAUGUCGGUAUGCCAAACUCUCAUGAUGUCAUGCCAUUACUGGAUAUUCCUUAACACUGGUUUAUUUAAGCCACACUACCUAUAACAUUACCAAAAUAUUAGACUGAAAAUUUUCAAAUACACAAGAUUUGAAGCAGCAAUAGAAAAGAAUUACAUAUGUAUAACACACAAAAAAGAAGAAAUUAAUUCUCACCUGGCUGAUAUGAACUUUUUACUCCUUUUUAGCUCCCUUUCACUGCAUACCAGCCAAUAACUAGCAGUCAUUAUAUGCAGAUCAGCCAUUGUUAUCAACCUGUGUAUAUAUAUGUUGAAUGAAAUAUGAAUGAAAA